rnacentral:rRNA from 1 species
GAACCACCUGGGAAGGUGGACCAUAGAGGGUGAAAGUCCCGUAGUUGAAAACGGGUUAUAGUGCGAGGUAGAUCCUGAGUACCUCGGAACACGAGGAAUUCCGAGGGAAGCAGGGGGGACCACCCUCCAAGGCUAAAUAUCUGGUUACACCGAUAGCGAAUAGUACCGUGAGGGAAAGGUGAAAAGAACCCCGGGAGGGGAGUGAAAUAGAAUCUGAAAUCCUAUGCCUACAAGGGAGUAGGAGCCCGAGAGGGUGACUGCGUACCUAUUGACGAAUGGGCCAACGAGUUAACUAACAAGGCAUGGUUAAGACAGUGAUAGUCGAAGUCGAAGGGAAACCGAGUCUGAAUAGGGCGAGAUAGUCUUGUUGGUUAGACCCGAAGCCAUAUGAGCUAGCCAUGGGCAGGAUGAACCCUGUGGAGACACAGGGGGAGGUCCGAACGGAUGGGAGCUGCAAGUCCUUCCGAUGACCUGUGGUUAGGAGUGAAAAGCUCAUCGAAUUCGGUGAUAGCUGGUUCUCCUCGAAACCACUUUAGGGUGGGCCUGCUGUUAAGAUCUUGAAGGGGUAGAGCACUGGUAAGGCUAGGGGUGUCGAGAGGCAUUACCAAACCUUGCUAAACUUCGAAUACUUUAAGGAAUACAGUGGAGUUACACUGCGGGGGAUAAGCUUCGUAGUGGAAAGGGAAACAGCCCAGAUUUCUAGCUAAGGUCUCAAAGAGAUGGCUAAGUGGCAAAGGAGGUGCACUUGCAGAGACAUCUAGGAGGUUUGCUCAGAAGCAGCAAUCUUUUAAAGAGUGCGUAAUAGCUCACUGGCCGAGCAGGUAUGCGCCGAAAAUGUAAGGAGGCUUAAGUCACUCACCGAAGCCGAAGGUCUACACGGAUAGUGUAGGCGGUAGAGGAGCGUUCUAUACACGAUGAAGUCAACUCGUAAGGGUUGAUGGAGUGUAUAGAAGUGAAAAUGUUGGCAUGAGUAACGACUGGAGGUGAGAAUCCUCCACGCCGAAAGCCCAAGGAUUCCACAGCAACGUUCGACGACUGUGGGUUAGGCGGAACCUAAGGUUAAGCCGAAAGGUGAGACCGAUGGGAAGCCGGUUAAUAUUCCGGCCCCUAGGUAGUAGGGAAGGCGUGACGCAUUGGGCCAUGUGUAUGCUUCCUAUAAGGGAGUCUAACUAGUGAGCCGACUGGCCUGAGAAGGCUGGGGCAGAUGGCAGGGAAAUCCACCAUUUGUAUAAAGGCGAGCUAGGAAGGAGACCUACUGUAGAGGUAGGAAAUACAUAGGUCUGGUGCCGAGAAAAACGUCUACUGUUAAUACUACCUAGUCCGUACCGAGAACUAACACUAGUGGACUAGUGGAGAACACUAAGGCGAGCGAGUUAACUAGGGAUAAGGAACUCGGCAAAUUAGCGGGCGUAACUUCGGGAUAAGCCCUGCCCAGACUAUGUUUGGGCCGCAGCGAAAGAAGUGGGGGGGACUGUUUAUCAAAAACACAGCUCUCUGCGAACUCCAAAAGAGGAGGUAUAGAGGGUGAUGCCUGUCCGGUGCCAGAAUGUUAAGCACUGGGGUGCAAGCCCUGGUGUGAAGCACUGGUGAACGACGGCCGUAACUAUGACGGUCCUAAGGUAGCGAAAUUCCUUGUCGGGUAAGUUCCGACCCGCAUGAAUGGCGUAACCAUCCCCGCGCUGUCUCAAUCCCAGGCCCGGUGAAAUUACAAUCCCGGUAAAAAUGCCGGGUAGGUGCGGUUAGACGGAAAGACCCUGUGAAGCUUUACUGCAGCUUGGUAUUGGGUCGGGGUACAUCAUGCGCAGAAUAGGUGGGAGGCUGAGAAGUCUGGGCUCUGGCUCAGGUGGAGCCGUCGGUGAGAUACCACCCAUGGUGUAUUCUGGCUCUAACCCCAGAAGACUGGGGGACAGUGCCUGGUAGGCAGUUUGCCUGGGGCGGGAGCCUCCUAAAGAGUAACGGAGGCGCACAAAAGUUGGCUUAGCACGGAUGGAAACCGUGCGGGACGUGUAUUCGCGGAAGUCAGCUUGACUGUGAGACUGACAGGUCGAACAGAGUGGAAACACGGUGAAAGUGAUCCGGAUCUUCCGAGUGGAAGGGGAUCCGCUCAACGGAUAAAAGCUACUCCGGGGAUAACAGGCUAAUGGGAUCCAAGAGUUCACAUCGACGAUCCCGUUUGGCACCUCGAUGUCGGCUCGUCGCAUCCUGGGGCUGUAGCCGGUCCCAAGGGUUGGGCUGUUCGCCCAUUAAAGCGGGACGCGAGCUGGGUUCAGAACGUCGUGAGACAGUUCGGCCCCUAUCUACCGUGCUCGUAUGCGACUUGAGGGGAUGUGCUCCUAGUACGAGAGGACCGGAGCGCACUGGCCGCUGGUGAACCAGUUGUCCGAGAGGGCACAGCUGGGUAGCUAAGCCGGGAAAGGAUAACCACUGAAAGCAUCUAAGUGGGAAGCCAACCCCAAGAUAAGGUCGCACAAUCGGCACCUUCGAGACUAGGAGGUUGAUAGGCUGGCGGUGUAAGCCUGGCAACAGGUUUAGCUGACCAGUACUAACAAGCCGAACGGACUUUAUCCU